rnacentral:rRNA from 1 species
AUUGAACGCUGGCGGCAUGCCUAACACAUGCAAGUCGAACGGCAGCACGGGUGCUUGCACCUGGUGGCGAGUGGCGAACGGGUGAGUAAUACAUCGGAAUCUGUCCUGUAGUGGGGGAUAGCCCGGCGAAAGCCGGAUUAAUACCGCAUACGAUCUACGGAUGAAAGCGGGGGACCUUCGGGUCUCGCGCUAUAGGGUUGGCCGAUGGCUGAUUAGCUAGUUGGUGGGGUAAAGGCCUACCAAGGCGACGAUCAGUAUCUGGUCUGAGAGGACGACCAGCCACACUGGAACUGAGACACGGUCCAGACUCCUACGGGAGGCAGCAGUGGGGAAUUUUGGACAAUGGGCGAAAGCCUGAUCCAGCAAUGCCGCGUGUGUGAAGAAGGCCUUCGGGUUGUAAAGCACUUUUGUCCGGAAAGAAAUCCAGGGCCCUAAUACGGUGGGGGGAUGACGGUACCGAAAGAAUAAGCACCGGCUAACUACGUG